rnacentral:lncRNA from 1 species
UGAGACAAGGCUGAGGGUAUUUUUCUUCAAGGAUUCCAACAAUUACAUCAGAAUCAGCCACCCAUUUGUCAUCAAACUUCACCACUGGUACUUUCCCUUCUGGACUUAUCUCCAAAAACCUAUCCAAAAUCAUUUCACACUUUUCAUAACCCAUUUGCUUAAAAACUUUCAACUAACCCCAUCACUAAAAGAAGCCAAAUCUAUAACACUUGUGCAAUCAAAAUCAUAAAUUUACACCAACCCAUUUGCUUAAACACUUGGAAUAACCCAUCAACACCAAAACAAGAGAUCAACUUUCACAUUUUAACAUAAAAAAAGUUUACAUCUUUUAGUAUCUAACACAAAAUACCAUUGAGGUUUGUCACUGAUAUUGAUAAGGUGCAUGUUGUAGGAAAUCUUCUUUUCCUCCAAAGUAAGAAGAGCUCUCUGGGAGAAUGGACCUGGAACAAGAAACCAUUAAGAAAAUGCAAAAAGCAACUCCAACCCAUAAAUAGAAUCACCCCAAGAAUGACGAAUUUGACAAUGAAAGGUGACAAGAGAG